UACAGAGGUCUCAAGCGUUGUUCGGAUUCAUUGGGCGUAAAGGGUGCGUAGGCGGCGCGGUAAGUCGGGUGUGAAAUUUCGAGGCUUAACUUCGAAACUGCAUUCGAUACUGCCGUGCUUGAGGACUGGAGAGGAGACUGGAAUUUACGGUGUAGCAGUGAAAUGCGUAGAGAUCGUAAGGAAGACCAGUGGCGAAGGCGGGUCUCUGGACAGUUCCUGACACUGAGGCACGAAGGCCAGGGGAGCAAACGGG
rnacentral:rRNA from 1 species